rnacentral:rRNA from 1 species
GAUCCUGGCUCAGGAUGAACGCUAGCUACAGGCUUAACACAUGCAAGUCGAGGGGCAGCAUUAUCGAAGCUUGCUUUGAUAGAUGGCGACCGGCGCACGGGUGAGUAACGCGUAUCCAACCUUCCCUUGUCCACGGGAUAGCCCGUCGAAAGGCGGAUUAAUACCGUAUGAGGUCACAUGCUGGCAUCAAAGUGUGACGAAAGGUUUAGCGGACAAGGAUGGGGAUGCGUCCGAUUAGGUAGUCGGCGGGGUAACGGCCCACCGAGCCGACGAUCGGUAGGGGUUCUGAGAGGAAGGUCCCCCACAUUGGAACUGAGACACGGUCCAAACUCCUACGGGAGGCAGCAGUGAGGAAUAUUGGUCAAUGGGCGAGAGCCUGAACCAGCCAAGUAGCGUGCAGGACGACGGCCCUAUGGGUUGUAAACUGCUUUUAUAGGGGGAUAAAGUGUGCCACGUGUGGCAUAUUGCAGGUACCCUAUGAAUAAGGACCGGCUAAUUCCGUG